rnacentral:rRNA from 1 species
CUGUGAAGCGGAGCAAAUCUCAAAAACCGGUCCCAGUUCGGAUUGUAGGCUGCAACUCGACUACAUGAAGCUGGAAUCGCUAGUAAUCGCGAAUCAGAAUGUCGCGGUGAAUACGUUCCCGGGUCUUGUACACACCGCCCGUCACACCNUGGGAGUCAGUAACGCCCGAAGUCAGUGACCCAACCAAUCAGGGAGGGAGCUGCCGAAGGUGGGACCGAUAACUGGGGUGAAGUCGUAACAAGGUAAC